rnacentral:rRNA from 1 species
AGGGUUUGAUCCUGGCUCAGGAUAAACGCUUGCGGCGUGCCUUAUGCAUGCAAGUCGAACGGUUCUUUGGUUUUCGGAUCAGAGGAUAGUGGCGAAUGGGUGAGUAACACGUAAGUAACCUAUCCCCGAGUAGAGAAUAACUCCGAGAAAUUGGAGCUAAUACUUUAUGUGGUGGUCAAGGUAAGGCUUGAUCACUAAAGCCUUAGGGCGCUCGAGGAGGGGCUUGCGGCUGAUUAGCUAGUUGGUAGGGUAACGGCUUACCAAGGCAGUGAUCAGUAGCUGGUUUGAGAGGAUGGUCAGCCACACUGGGACUGAGACACGGCCCAGACUCCUACGGGAGGCAGCAGCAAGGAAUAUUGUGCAAUGGGCGAAAGCCUGACACAGCGACGUCGCGUGGGGGAUGAAGGCUUUCGGGUCGUAAACCCCUUUUCUCAGGGAAGAAUAAUGACGGUACCUGAGGAAUAAGUCUCGGCUAACUACGUGCCAGCAGCCGCGGUAAUACGUAGGAGGCGAGCGUUAUCCGGAUUUACUGGGCGUAAAGAGGACGUAGGCGGUUCUUCAAGUCAGAUGUAAAAUCUCCCGGCUUAACUGGGAGGGUGCAUUUGAUACUGUCGGGCUAGAGGGCAGCAGAGGGAGGUGGAAUUCCCGGUGUAGUGGUGAAAUGCGUAGAUAUCGGGAGGAACACCAGUGGCGAAGGCGGCCUCCUGGGCUGUUUCUGACGUUGAGGCCCAAAAGCGUGGGGAGCAAACAGGAUUAGAUACCCUGCUAGUCCACGCUGUAAACUAUGGACACUAGGUAUGGGGAGUAUCGACCCUCUCUGUGCCGAAGCUAACGCAUUAAGUGUCCCGCCUGGGACUACGGCCGCAAGGCUAAACUCAAAGGAAUUGACGGGGGCCCGCACAAGCAGCGAGCGUGUGCUUAAUUCGAUGCACGCGAAGAACCUUACCAAGCUUGACAUGCGGAAGUAGAACCCGGAAAGCGACGACUGUAAUCAAGACCGCACAGGUGCUACAUGCUGUCGUCAGCUCCGUGCUGAGGGUGGUAGUUCCGGUACGGACGCACCUCGUGCAAGUGUUUUCUCUGCGAACUGCCUGCAACGAGAGGUGGGAAUGACUCAGUCAACGCCUUAUGCUGGCUACAAACGCUACAAUUGGUGCUAUAA